GGGUAGUGUUAUCAAUUCACAUGAACUGAUAUCAUGAUAACAUGAAUAAAUUGUCAGUGCUAGCUGGUAAACAUGCUAAUUUCAGCUGACGUCUUCGCAAACACCGUACAUGAUAUCAAAACUGCUGUUCCUUCCCACUCUGUUGAUGAUUUCAUCAUUCAUGACUCAUUUUUCUAAAAACUGCUAUCAACACUUUGUCUGUUUGUUAAAAAAAUGGCACUGUUAUCACUGUAAAAUGGUGGGAAGGGCAAUGCAGUGAUCUAUGGAGUAACGUAAGCGCUCAAGUAUCAGCCCAAGACCUACUUAUGAUUAUGUAAAUGGUCUCCAACAUAUCAACUCAUUAUUCAUACUUUCUCGCUGCUGUUUCCGCCUUCAAUAGGCAUCCCUAAUGUAAAUGCAUCCGCUGCUGCACAAAAGAGCUCUUCACUGCCCGUUGCCCUCUAAUCUCAGUUUUCCCCCGCAGCGUCAGUUCAACUCGAGUCAAAUGCUCCGUGUCUUUCAGGGGUUUAGACAUGCGCUGAGAAUGCGUGCAGACUUGAAUAUGAGAGAUCUUGCAGAUGCUCUCUGGAGCUUGAUGGCAGAUGUUUUUUUGAAACUAAAAGAACUCGCCUCCAACUUUCUGUUGCCAAUAGUCUGCUCAGGCUUUCAAAUUGUAAUAUUUAUUCUUAUUCUUCAAGGACUCACGUCCUUAAACGCAAGAUAGAAGAAAGGCCAAUUUCCCAUAUCUAGACCUACCAUGUUGUCAGCUGUAAAGAACGGGGAGGGAAACUCUGUCUGUUUUGGCACAGGAUGAAUAUUUUCUCAGAUAUGUUAAUCAUGGCCACGACAUAUUGCGUAAGAAAACAUUGUCUCUGAUAGAUCGAUAAGUCCCCUGGCACUUUGGUGACUGUAGUGACCGAGGCACCACGAUGUCUGCAGACCCCUCGCUCCCAAGGGCUUUAAUAAGAUGUGUGUGUGUGUGUGUUCGCGAGCAUGUGGACGUAUGCGCGUGCAUUUGAAAAAACGUGCCCCACCCGACUUGAGGUUAUGAGAGCAAACAUGAACUCAAAAGAUGUGCUUCAUACUGUUUUCAAGGCCAAAGAAAAUGCAAUAAAGCACGUCUUCAAAAAUAUUUCACUUCUCGAAACGCACUUUACUCCGCUUGUUGCUAUACCACAAACCACACUUAUUUGUUCUCAUUUGUCACUAUAUCGUACUCAUUUUCCUCAGCCGGACGUAUGUACUUAGAAUAUAUAAUAGAAUACUUCCUCUGACAGUGAUUCAUGUCCUGUUCUAUAAGACCGGAGACUCUGGAUUUUUGCCGUAUCAGCUCUUUUCCCUGGGUCCCCUUGGUGACAAAAUAGAUCACAGCUAAAGAAACAAAAUCCACGUUCACAUGCCAUGCAGUGCAAAUCAAUUGGCGGAUACCAAGAUAUAAAUGGGAUGAAUGUGACAUUAGCGAUGUGAAGCCAAUAUAGGAUGGAGGGAGGUUAAGGGUUAAUCACAAGAUGGAUGUUCCCUCCAUAGCUCUCUGGGACACAUCAACACAAAUGUUAUGUCACAGCGGUCCAAACAGCAUGCUUUCAUUAUCUGUUACUCUUGUUGCGCUAUUUUCUACUUCUUCUAUUUGAAGCUACAGCAAAGACCAAAUGAGGAUAACACAACAGCCCGCCCAGUGCACUCUCCUGCGUGACACACGAGCGCCUUCCUGGAAAAAUGGACGUCAUCACUGGAUUUUUAUGUAAACCUCAGCCAAACGUGUAACUCGAGGACACUUUCCGUCGUGCGCAGCUUGGAUUGCCGCCACUGCCGGACAGACGAUGGAAAACUUCCUCUCCUAUCCUCCCGUCUCUCUCUCACCUGUUGGAGGUGGCUGCUGCAGCUGAUGCGAGCUGAGCUGUUGUCUUUGACUGCCCACAUGUGGCCGAACUGAGGAACAACAGCAGCGUGAUGGUUCUCACGGCCAAGCACAAAAUCAGCAGGGUGGCUCUCUCUGGCGGCGCUCUGAAGACACAGAACUAAAGCCCCCAACAUAUUCACUGCCUCGUCUUUUUUUCUGUGUGUGGUGGCUCUGAGGUGCAACAACAAGUACGAAAAAAGCUCACUAAACAUUGGACAUCCAAUCAGAGCUCCGGGGGCGCAGGGCUGUUCAGUGUGGAAAGAAAUUCAAAUCCUUCCGAACCUUUUUUUGUGUUUUAUGUAAAACAAAUUUGAAGGUGACUCAGAACCAGUGAGCCCCUCGCGGAUUGUUGCUCUGCCUGAUGCUCUCUGCUUUGCUCACUGAAACACUCACUGGCACAACAAACCUGAUGAAUACGGUGCUUAAAAUGACAGUGACCAGCUGUGUUGAAUAUUUAACAGUGGCUUGUUUUUCAAAAGACUGAGAGCCGCAGAUGGUUUGGUUAAAAAAAAAAAGC